rnacentral:lncRNA from 1 species
AUUUUUUUGGUUUCUAGAUUUUUCUAUUUUCUCUCUCUCGCCUACGUGCGAUUCUUCUUCAUCUCCUUCUCUAUUUUUUUGGUUAAAAAUCUCAUAUUAAUCCUUAGUUUUAGUUUUAACCUUUGUAGAUGGCCUUGCUACAGUAAUUUGAGGCCUUGUUUUAGUCUCUUUGGUUUUUUCAAUUGUGAAAUGGAGUGUUUAAGGUUAAGUGGUUGAAGGAUUGGUUAUGGUUUUGGAGAUCCAUGUGAUUGAUGAACAAAACCUAUGUUUUUUGAGUGGUUGAUUUACACUAUACUCUCUUGGAAGGUUAUUUUUCACUAGAGGAACGGGUUCAAUUCCUGAGCCCCCUAGAUUAGACAAUUUUCGGCUGAACUGGGUCAACAAUCUUGUGUUUUUUACGUUUUAUAGUUUUUUUUUUUAUUUCUUGGGCAUUUUGGUGUUUAUUAAUAAGUGUUUUCAUCAAGAAAAACCCAACACUUUUCUUAUUCUACAAGUAGAAUAUUUGAUUGUCUCUGAUGAAUGAUUUGCUACCAUUCUCUAUGUUUAGGAGUGGUGUGUUUCACCUUUUACGGCUUUAUUGUGCCAUGGUACUCCAGUGUCCAACCUAUUAUUUCUAAAAAUAGUUAUGUUGGAUGAUGUUGUUCUCUUUGAUACCUUAUUCAUCUGUUUGUCCUUCAUAUUAAGGGAGUAUCUGUGGAGUGGGUUAUGAUCUUGCCAAUUAUUACAGAACUAAGGGGUUCCACCUCUGAGUAUUCUUUCAUUUGCAAAUACAUUGUUCUAAUGAAAAAUGAAGAUUGUUCUAAUGAAAAAUGAAGAUACAUGUCCAAUUACUGUCGACUUUGCUUCCUGAACAUAUCUUAUUUUUGACCGAUUUCCUCUUCCAUUCUCUUUGGAUCUUAGCUUACAAAUUUGGGAUAUUGAUUGUUUUCCGGUUGUUAUGACUAUAGUUUGGGAAGAAAAUUCAUCCUAAGUGUGUUGUUUCUCACCUGACGAAUAAUUUCUUGUUUCUUGCUUAGUCGAUGAAUUUAUUGAGGUUUGAUUAUUACAAAUUCCUUCAUUAGUACAAAUUGAGGUUUUUUAUUACAAAAUCCAUAAAUCGUUAGAAAUUUCUAGCUACUCCUUGGUUGCUCAUUUUAGAUCAUGCUAGGUAUGGGAUCACAUAAGUGGAAACCUUAAGAAGGAUCUUCAAUAUCAGGCUCAUGUAAGUUGUGUGUUCUUCUAAUUUUCAUUCUCUUUCCCCGUCUUAGUUAUUUUAAUUUGUUAAACCUAUUCUAUUGUGCUUGCAUGAUAUAACUCUGGAUCUGUGAGGCUUAAAUUACUUAAUAAUAUGGUGUUAUAAUGCAACAAAUUGGAUAAAAAAUAGUUUAUUAAGGAAGUGAUUUUCGAUGUUUUAUCAUCAUUGUAUCAAGAGAAUUGCCAUUCACAGUUAACUAAAUAUAAGUUGGCACUAAAUGGUUGACAUGUAGGGCUUGAAACAAACUGCAAUAUGUUGAAUUCUUAGUUCUAAUGGAUCUUUUUCUUACCUCUCCUUUUUCUUAUUUGUUCAUUACCCCUUUAGAGGGGCUAAGUUAUUUAUUUUUCUUUAAUCAUAUAAAUGGAUGAGAUAAUAGAUACACAUCUUCUUGUCUGUUGCAUUUGUUGUUUUCCAGAUUGGCAAAUUAAUUAUUACUAACAUGUCCACAUGGUUCAUGACUUACAGCAUUAACUAUUUUCAAUUUAAUUCUCAACUCAUAAAAUGUUAGUCUUUUUUGGUCGAUGGUCAUUGUAUUAUGAAUACUUAGUGUCAUUGUUUUGUUCUUCAUGAGUUUACAGUUAAAUGUAUUAUGUUUUUGUAAUGAUUGAAUCAUUUUAUGGUUAGGAAUAUUGGAUACAAUUUCGUGAAAUCACAAUUGUGACUUUCUUGUUUGUGAUGCAGGAAGUUCUGAAUCAACUGAGGUCGAGAUGUCAGAUUGCAUGUUGAGAUACCAUGAGAUGGCGGAUUGGCGCAAAGAUGGAAAGUGAUUGCAACACUUUCCUUAAUUGGGGCAAUUUCGAAACGUUUUUGGUAAUUUGGUCAUAACUUUGGCUACGGUUAUCAGAAUAGCUAUUAUAAUCCCAAUUCGAAAAGCUCUUUUCAGUACACACGUUGUUGUCAAGCCAUACUCAAUGGGCAUUAAUUUCGAGGCCAAAAUUUGUUGUUCUCCCGUUCAAAUUUCAAUUUUUAGUUAUUUUUUUCAUUUAUUAUAAUAUUUCGUUUGAUUUUUUCUAGUUGAUUUCAAAUCUGAUUUGAGCCAAAUUUUUGGCAAGUUCCUUCUUUUAUUCCAUAUUUUAUUUUGGUGUGGUUUUCGGGAUUUUGCCAUUUUUGGUAAAAUUUCCAUAAUUUCAUAUUUUUUAGCUAUUUAACCCGACUUGUGAUUAAUUUUCGUAUUCUGCAUUUUAAUAAAGUUAAGUUGAAUUUCAGAAAAUUCUCUCUAUUUCUUGGGCUUUUUCCAUCGUAUUCUUCCUGUGAAUUAUCUAUUGCAACUAGCCUGCAGGAUAAUCACUAUCUCACCCGACGUCAGUUUGUAACAUGGCAGGUAAACUUUUAUGAUGCACAAUGAUGUUGUCUUCUCAGUUGAUUUUAGUAGAGACUCUGAGAUGCUUGCAUCUGGAUCACAAGAUGGAAAAAUAAAGGUUAAGCUUGCUUUCAUUUUCUGCUUUAAUGUGAUUAUUCUCAUGUUGCUUUGUCUUCUAAUUUCCCUAACAUCUAAAAAGAGUUAAAAAAAAGAAGCAUCUAGACUUAUUCAACACAAAAUAACUUAAAGAAGUUAGAGAAUAUUACUUUAUGGUGAGAUAUUAUCCUCCAAAGAAUAUUUUUGGUAUAGCCGGGGAGUAUCAUGACAUCCAUUCUAAUUUGUUGCAAGGUUUUGAAGGACCCUCUAGUGGCUUGUAUUAUACAAUUUGAAAUUCACAAUUGUAAAUCUAUUUAGUAGAUGUUGUUCUCAUCUGUUUGGUUAUAGGUUUAGCGUAUUAGGACAGGUUAAUGCUAACACCGACUGGAACAUGCUCAUUCCCAGGGUGUCAUGAGCCUUGUCUUUUCACGAGAUGGAAGUCGGUUGUUAAGUACAGCAUUUGACAGCACAGCAAGGUUUGAACUCUUAGAGAUGGCUUUUGAAUUGAGCUAUAGUAUCCCCUUAAUCUCAUGCCCUCCACCACCCAAGGAAAAAAAAAAUCAGAAAAGGAUAAGAAGGAUUGUAGAUUCUUGAAAAGGUUCUCAUGAUCCUUACUUUUCUUAUAUUAUACAGAAUUCACGGAUUAAGUCAGGCAAGAUGUUGAAGGAAUUUCAUGGCCAUAUAUCUUAUGUUAACGAUGCCAUCUUUACAAGUGAUGGCUCUCUCGUCAUCUUUGUAUCAAGUGAUUGCACAAUGAAAGUAAGUUAACCUAGCUAUCUAUUAUUAAUUGAGGCCAAAUUUUUCAAGUUUGC